rnacentral:rRNA from 1 species
UACGGGGGGAGCAAGCGUUGUUCGGAUUUACUGGGCGUAAAGGGCGCGUAGGCGGCCAGCACAAGUCAGUUGUGAAAUCUCCGAGCUUAACUCGGAAAGGUCAACUGAUACUGUGCGGCUAGAGUGCGGAAGGGGCAACUGGAAUUCUUGGUGUAGCGGUGAAAUGCGUAGAUAUCUGCAGGAACACCCGUGGCGAAAGCGGCGCGCUGGACCACUACUGACGCUGAGGAACGAAAGCUAGGGGAGCAAACAGG